rnacentral:rRNA from 1 species
CGGGUUGUAAAGCACUUUUGUCAGGGAAGAAAAGGAUUCUACUAAUACUGGAGUCUGAUGACGGUACCUGAAGAAUAAGCACCGGCUAACUACGUGC